UGGGGAAUUUUGCACAAUGGGGGAAACCCUGAUGCAGCGACGCCGCGUGAUUUAGAAGGCCUUCGGGUUGUAAAAAUCUUUUGUAUGGGAAGAAAAUGACAGUACCAUACGAAUAAGGACCGGCUAAUUACGUGCCAGCAGCCGCGGUAAUACGUAAGGUCCGAGCGUUGUCCGGAAUCAUUGGGCGUAAAGGGUACGUAGGCGGCCAAACAAGUUAGAAGUGAAAUCCUAUAGCUCAACUAUAGUAAGCUUUUAAAACUAUUUGGCUUGAGAUAUGGAAGGGAAAGUGGAAUUCCUAGUGUAGCGGUGAAAUGCGCAGAUAUUAGGAGGAAUACCGGUGGCGAAGGCGACUUUCUGGCCAUGAUCUGACGCUGAGGUACGAAAGCGUGGGUAGCAAACAGG
rnacentral:rRNA from 1 species